rnacentral:rRNA from 1 species
AACGAACGCUGGCGGCAGGCCUAACACAUGCAAGUCGAGCGAGGACUUCGGUUCUAGCGGCGGACGGGUGCGUAACGCGUGGGAAUGUGCCCUUCUCUACUGAAUAGCCCUGGGAAACUGGGAGUAAUACCGUAUACGCCCUAUUGGGGAAAGAUUUAUCGGAGAAGGAUCAGCCCGCGUUGGAUUAGGUAGUUGGUGUGGUAAUGGCCUACCAAGCCGACGAUCCAUAGCUGGUUUGAGAGGAUGAUCAGCCACACUGGGACUGAGACACGGCCCAGACUCCUACGGGAGGCAGCAGUGGGGAAUCUUAGACAAUGGGGGCAACCCUGAUCGAGCCAUGCCGCGUGAGUGAUGAAGGCCUUAGGGUUGUAAAGCUCUUUCAGCUGGGAAGAUAAUGACGGUACCAGCAGAAGAAGCCCCGGCUAACACCGUG